rnacentral:rRNA from 1 species
AGCGAACGCUGGCGGCAGGCCUAACACAUGCAAGUCGAACGAUGAAGCCCAGCUUGCUGGGUGGAUUAGUGGCGAACGGGUGAGUAACACGUGAGUAACCUGCCCUUAACUCUGGGAUAAGCCUGGGAAACUGGGUCUAAUACCGGAUAGGAGCGUCCACCGCAUGGUGGGUGUUGGAAAGAUUUAUCGGUUUUGGAUGGACUCGCGGCCUAUCAGCUUGUUGGUGAGGUAAUGGCUCACCAAGGCGACGACGGGUAGCCGGCCUGGGAGGGUGACCGGCCACACUGGGACUGAGAGACGGCCCAGACUCCUACGGGAGGCAGCAGUGGGGAAUAUUGCACAAUGGGCGCAAGCCUGAUGCAGCGACGCCGCGUGAGGGAUGACGGCCUUCGGGUUGUAAACCUCUUUCAGUAGGGAAGAAGCGAAAGUGACGGUACCUGCAGAAGAAGCACCGGCUAACUACGUG